rnacentral:lncRNA from 1 species
CUCCUUAACUAACCUAAGCUCCCCCCCCCCAGUCACCGAGGCUCGCAUCUUCUGGGUCUCAGAGUUCCUCUCUUUUGUUCACCACCUGCUGCGUGGACAGUGGGUCAAGAGGGCACGUCAGACAGGACCAGGGUGUGAGUGGGAUUCUGUCCACACGAGGGCGCAAGACUCAAGCAUCGGUCUGAGAAGUCAGUCUCGGGACUGAGCAGUCUGUCCACACUUCCUGGGUGGCUUCCCUCCUGCCAGGGGCUGCUGCAUCUAACUUCAACCUAGAUGCUGCCUCCAGCCCUUCAAACCACCAGAAAAUGGGUAUCAGAGACUGGCUGGCAAGAUCCUUACCUGCGGCUGGAAAGCAGUCAGGCUGGGGGUUACGACUCUUCCCAGUAAGAUAGGGGGCUCUGUUUCUUCAUCCUUAGAUGAUGGAUUUGUCUUGUUAAGGCCGAGUACAAAGAUGGCCCCGCUGACCCUUUCCUUCCAGGAGGGAGCCCCCUUUAAGGCCUCGGGGACAAAGUGUGGUGUAAUGAGGUCCCAGCAGCCAUAGCUUCCUUGGGUCCCAUGUGGCAGGGCCCAAGGAAGGAGCUGGUGGAGCAGAGAUGGGGCACAUGUAUAAUAUCCUGUCCCCUGGCCCUCAGCUCCAGUUCCCAUGUCUGUCUGUCUGUCUGUCUGUUUGUCUGUCUGUCUGUCCAUACCAGCUGCUCCCUCUUCCCUGGUUACUGGUUCUGGAUUGCCUGUCGUCUACAGGGACAACUGGGACUUCAGAAGGUCCUGCUUGGCGUUUGCAUCCCCACCAUUCUUUUAAGUUUGAUUCUUCAUCUGCUGUUUUGUGGCCUUUAACAAGUGGAGGGUGUGAGGCUACUACUGCUACAUACUGCUACAAACACAGAGACACAUUCCUGACUUCAGUUACACCUGCCCCCUGCCCACCUCAAAGUCUAACUCUUCCCCUGCCCUCUGAGCGCCCCAGCUGGUCUUGGGGCAGUGGAAAAGCCCCUUUAAUGCCCUUCCUGCCCCACCUCACAGGGCCUUCAGACCCAUGGUCCUGCUCCCACCCACCUUGGUGUCUUCCAUACUCAUCCUUUCUUUGCUGUCUCUUUUCUGAGGGGGGCAGUGGAAUUUAUACAAUAUUUAAGCAGCCAGAGCCGGGUCCUGGAAGAUAUUAUUAAUGUGGAAGGGAUGGGCCGCAAAUGCUUCUGGACCUGGUUACAAUUAGAGGGUGAUUUUUCUAAAGGUCAAUGAAUUCAGAUAAUAUCCACAGGGGGGAGAGAAAUUUAAUACCUUUUUAGUGAAUUAAUUAAUUAUAAUAUUAUAUCGGCUUGGGGUUCUUUUCCAGAGUGAUUAAGGCAGCGAUCUGUCUUCUGUGAGCUCCCUGCCAUGAGGACCCUGUCAUGGGCUUGGCGACAGGGCCCUUCACUCUCCUCUCACCAGGCAGGUGGGGGUUGGGGAGGAGCAGAAAACGCUGAAGGGCGGCAGCAGGUGGGAUAAACUGCAGCACCCUGUUCCUCAUCUUGCAUCCCCAGCCUGCUUCCUGCUGCAUCCAGCCUCAUCCCACAGUGACUAGAGGAAAAUCCGUUACACUUGGGGAAACUGAGGCUCAUGGACUUCCACAUCUUGCCUGAGCAUGAUGGCUGCCAGGCAGAGCUGGCUAGAAACUCCACUCUCCAUCCAUCCCCUAAACCAGACAAUCUGGACCACAGACCCUCCAUAGGGAAAGUUCCAAUGUGGCUUUCUGCUCUUCCUGUCACAAAGUGAUUACAGGAUAUGGAGUGUGCCAUGAGGCUGCAGGCUGGUGAAGAGGAGCUGAGAUCUCUGUCCUGCGGAGACCUGAGCACACACAUUUGUUCCUGUCUUCAGUCACACAGUCAUUCAACAAGCCUUCAGGGCACACUACUUUGUUCCGUGGGAGACAGGCUGAAGUUGUCAUCCUGGAGUCCCAGCCAUUCAUGGACACUGGGUUGAGCAAUCACUGGGAACUGGUGCUGUCUGGAUAGCCUUAGGGGGACAAAGGACAGACAUGUAAGCUGGGGACAUGGUGGGGACACAGACAUGUAAGCUGUAAGUGAUAGCGGGAGCAGAGUUGGCAGUGAGCUGAGUCUCUAGGGACCAGGUUGGCAGGAGUGCUCCCCCUGUAGGAGGAGGAAGGGAGCACUCUAGGUAUGGGACUCCAAUUGUGCAGUGAGGCCUGAAGGUGCUGAAGUCAAAUGGGUGAGGAUCCCUGCAGAUGGGGCCUGGCAAUCUGAGGCCAGGUUAUGGCUGCUUCUGUCCACUCACAUCCCAGAUGUGUUGACUGAGACUGUUCCACGAGGCCACAGCAUGUGGGUGGAAAGCCAGAAGCAGCAAAGCCAAACAGACCUGCAUUUCAUAGUGGACUCUGCCUCAGCCAGCUGCAUGACAAUCUGUGCCUCAGUUUCCCCUUCUGUGAUGGAGAUCUAUAACCACUCAGGCUGCUUUAGGAACUAAAUGAGGACUGAAGAGGAGCUAACGCUGCUCUGAGCUUGCCUGACAUCCUGGGGGUGGGUGGUCACUGCCCCACCCCCACCUCUCUUUUUUUUCAAGGGGGUACCAGUGGAAGCUCAGGUUAGGGGUGUUCUUUGUCGGGGGACAGACUUUUUCCUUGGCUCUGCUUUUUUCUUCUCCCUGCCCCUGUCCCUGUCCCUCAAUGCCCUCCUUGGCCUGGCUCCCCCUCCCAGCCCCUCCCCCACUGGCUCACUCUGUGUGCGGCAGGCCAGGGAGGGCCUUCCCAUUGUACUAUCUUUGGGCCCUAAAUUAAAAUUGAUGACAUCUUGAAAUGAGCAGUGAGGGUAAUUUUGCUUCAGAGCCGGGAUGCUAAUGAGGCCCCUUAAUGGUGCAAAAGCUGAGCUGACGGGUCGUGUGUCACACGCAGCAGCUAGGGGGGUAAUGGCCACGGUAAGUGCUGGUAAUUACACCCUGUCUUGCUGUAUUUUGGCAGGCCUGGUGGGAGAGCAGAGGCUCAAUCACCACUGGCGGGGACACCCCCACCCACCAUGGGACUGACAGCCAGGGAUACCCCCUGGGCCCAGCCAGGCCCCCUCAAAUCCAGCCCCACGUAGAAUGAGGGUCUUGGCCAUAGCCUCCAACACAGGCGCUGCAACACACAGUAACAGCACUGGACACCCCUCGGCCUUGCACAUUCAUCCCCAGAACCUGGGCAUGCUCCCUGUGCGGUCAUGCAACGCACAUGGUGCUGUGCGAACGAACGCACAGCUUGACCACUGUGCUCUCCGUGAACACACAAAACUGUGUAGAGGCACAUGCAAACCCACACAAAAUCGCCUUCUCAGAUAUGAGCAUGCAAUGAGUGCCUAGGAGCUCACCUAGGAGCUCUCGCCCUCCCAACCAACUGCCUCUUCCCACACUUCUCUCUCCCCGCCUCCUCUCUGUCUUUUACACAGUCACUUUAUUUACGCAUGGAUUGAUUUCUUUUAUUUUCUGUGCUUAUGUGUUUUGCCUGCAUGUAUAUCUGCUCUAUGUGUGUCUUGUGCACGAGGAGACCAGAAGAGGGCAUCGCAUCCCCUGGGACGGGAAUUACAGAUGGUUGUGAGCUGCCACAAAGCCCCCAGGCUCUUGUCCUGUGGGCAUCCUGCCUCUUCCAGGCUCUGAGUUAACAGCAUGGACUUGGUCUGACUGCCUGGGUUCUCCAUCUAAGUCAAUAGAAAUGUGCUGUUACUCAGCCUUUGCCUCCAUUUCCUUAUCUGUAAGUUGGGGGGUGCUAAGGGCAUCUGGAUGUAGACACAGAUAAGUGAGUUUAUAGUUGCCAAGCACAUGGUGUCUGGCACAACUUCACUAAGUGUGUGGAGAGGUUGUGUCCUGGCAAAGAAUGCUCUUCAGGAUGGGACAGGCACCAAGGAGCAGGCAGUGGGAAGCAGAGCAGGGAUGCCACCUAAGGCUGGGGUGGCCAGGGAGGGUCUCACGGAGGGAGAAAGCUUUGGACUAUAGCCAGCUUUGCCUGUGCACCAGCAGCCUCCUCUGCUCCUCAGCUGUGAACUGGGCCAGGUGUACGGUCCCACCAGAGCAACAGGUGACAACUGAGAGUGUCUGGGAGAAGAAAGACACAGGGCCACCCAUUCUAUAUGCAGGGCCAGUAGGCCAUGGAGGAGAGUACUGUAUCAUACCGACUUGUUCCUCACACAUUGCUCAGCUAACCUCUCUCUCUCUCUCUCUCUCUCUCUCUCUCUCUCUCUCUCCCUCCCUCCCUCCUUUUUUGAGACAGGGUCUCACUGUGUUGUCCUGGCUGACUGGCUUGCUUAGAACUUAUUACAUAGACCAGGCUGGCCUUGAACUCACAGCCACCUGUCUGUGCCUCCCCAUUGCUAGAAUUAAAGGGGUGCACUAGCACACCCAGUUGAAUUCUUGUACAAUCCAGGACUACCUGCCCAGGGGUGACACCACCCACAGAGUGGUGGACCCUCCUGGAUCAUUCAUUAGUCAAGAAUGCUCCUAGGGACUUGCCCACAGGCGGAGGUGAUACAGGCCUUUUCUCAAGUGAAGUUCUCUCUUCCCAGAUGACCCUAGCUUGUGUCAAGCUGACAAACAAGCUAACCAGCAUAGCUCUCUCAGAUAAAAGUCCUCAUUCAGAGCCUGUGGCCUCCUGUGGAAAGCAGCCCACACUCCUGGCCCAUCUCUAAUGGGGUGGGUUACCACGGUGGGUGUCUUCACCUGAGGUGGAAACUGCAGGCAACUUUCCUGCUCGGGUCUCAGAGCCUGGCACCUGAUAUCCAUUCUAAGGUAUCUGUGGGAUGAAAGGACAGACACACUGUGGGCCUCUAGAGCCCUAGCAAGAUGGCUUGGUGCACUGGCUGCUCUUCUAGAGGAUAGAGGAUCUGGGUUCCAUUUCCAGCACUCACAUGGCAACUCACAAUCAGCUGUAACUCUAGUUUUGUGUGUGUGUGUGUGUGUGUGUGUGUGUAACAAAAUUUUAUAAGUGGUCACCUAGGGUGCUGGGUGCAAAUAAAAUAACAGAUAAAAUUAAUUUCUAGCUCUGUUUUUAAGACAGGAUCUCAUAUUUUCUAGGCUGAUGCCAAACUGCCUAGGUAAGUAAGGAUGACCUCAACUUUCUCUUUGCUAGUGUGUGUGUGUGUGUGUGUGUGUGUGUGUGUGUGUGUGUGUGUAUUUGUGUUCCCAUGUGUGGGUGUGGGCAUGUGUGCUUUCAAAUGUGUGGAUUACAUGUGUGCAUGUGUGGAGACCUGAAGCUGGAGGCAGGGGUCUUAUUGCUCCUCUCUCUCCUGACGUCUCUCAGUUGAAGCCAGAGCACAAGAUCUGCUGGAUGUCCUCACUAGCUUGACCCCUGGGGACUCCGUCCACCUCUCUGCCACACCUGCCAAGCUUCUAUGUCCACUCUUAGGUUCCAAACUCUGGUCCGGAGGCUUGUUUGACCAGCCUUUAUCCAGUGAGCCAUCUCCUCAGCCUCACCUCUAGGUGCUGGGGUCACAGGCAUGGGCUACCACACCUGUAGGACUGGGUGGAAGGAGCCUCAUAUAUGCUGGGCAAGCAUUUUCCAGCUGUGCAAUCCCCCAGCCCUUUACUGUCUCUUCCUUCUGUCCCAGUUUUAAUGAUACUUCUUCUCUCCAUGGCCCCCCCCCCAGCCCUGCCCCGAGAGAGGGUUUCUCUGUGUAGCCCUGGCUGUCCUGGAACUCUCUCUGUAGACCAGGCUGGCCUUGAACUCACGAAGACCCUCCGGCCGCUGCCUCCCUAGUGCUGGGAUUAAAGGCAUGUGCCACUGAUGAGCUUAUCAGGACAUCCACUACACCUUCCCCUGUUCCUCAACCCAGGCCUGGUGGUUGGCACCAAGCUUGCCUGCUUGCCCUCCUGCUGGCAGGAGGCGGGGCAGCACGUACCAUGCUGGAUGGCGAGGUCUCCAGCUUGUACAAAGAAGGCACUAAGGAGGUAGGUGUCCCACACCGUAGUUUUUCCUCUCCUUGCUCGGUCUCCAGGCAGCAGUGGGACAUCUUAUUUCACCAACACAAACCCUAUAACCACCAGCAAUCACGGCCAUCCCCUCCCUCACCGUACACACUUGGGCAGACGCUGUCUGCAUUCGGUGUCUCAGGUAUGGCUUGUGAUCUGUGUAAUUCACGGGACUCCGGUCUUCCCUGCCCAAGCUCUUCCCUCUCUUCCAGCCUCUCCACUCCAUGGCAGAUUGCUAGCCAACCAGAGUUUGAAGUCCACUGAGGAUGGUAUCUGCUGGAUGUGACAAAGACAAAGCAUGGCUUCAUUUGCGUCCAAGCCCCCUUGCCUUCUCUGUCUGCUAGGUCCCAUUUGGGGUCACCCAAGCCCUGGAGGCCUGGCCUGGCCUGGCCCUGCAGCCCCUCAGUUCUUAGUGUGGCUGGGAGUGACACUUUUCUUAGCUAGCUCACUGCCCUGUGCUCACCAGGUGAAGCCCACACACCCUCAGGUGGGGCAAGGGUUGCUUUUCAGUCUCUGAAAGCCAUCAGUCUCAGUGUUGACUGCUUCUCCAUAAGAUCCCCAUAGUUUAGCCUGUCCUGUUCUCUUCUCUGCCUGCCUCCCCCAUCUCACGUAGCUCAGUUUGGCCUUAAAUUCAGUAAGAAGCUGAGAACGUCCUUACACUCCGGAUCCUCUUGCUUUCAUCCCAAGAGCAGGAAUGGCAAAUGUGCACCACACCCCUGUUUCUGAAGUGCUGGGGGCUGAACCCACAGCUUCCUGAAUGCCGGACAGUCUGCCAGCAAAGCUGCAUCCCCAGCCCUGCGGUUUUUCCUUAACUCCAAAUUUCCCAAGCCAAAGUCAACGAUCUCAGGUCUAGUCGCCCUUGCAGCUCGGCAAUCCCUUCUGGGCACUUUCUGGACACAGGCCUGGGCCUCUGCCGGGGCUGCAGAUGUGAAUGUCAAAGCCUCGUCCAGUGUUGACUCCUAAAUGGCCCCAGAGUAAACAGCCCAGUACAAGGGUCUUCUGGGAACAGAGGCUACUUACGAGGGCUGGGUCACAUGAUCCUGACCACCAAGGGCCUCUGCCAGCCUCCCUUCCCCCAGCAGGAAGGUCCGCGGGGGGGGGGGGGGAGGAAUCCGAGAGAUUUGGCUUGAGAGGGGAGGGGAUGAAGUGGAGAAUAAAUAUAAUUGUUCCCGUUUGAUAACUUUUUCUAAUUAGGGACCAAUUAUAUCUGGUACUUAACUGGGGUCCCGGUAGAUUCUUUAGUUUGCUAGAUAAUUACUGGCUAGUAAUCCGGCAGUGGGAAGUGGGCAAAGAGUGUGCCCCCACAACAUUUUGGUUUGUCCUACCUGUGGUGGGGAAUGGGGUGGGGUGGUUCUGCCCACGGCUGGGUGGAGGUGGGAGGGAUGGACGACGACUUUGUCCAAAGAGCAGGCAGGCACUCUAGAAAUACCUAGGCAGUCCUACUUUCUCCCUGUCCCUGAGCCCCAGGCCCCUAUCCAGGAGCCUGUCAUUUCUCUGUAGCCAUCAACCAAUACCACAAGGGGGCAGGGACGUCUGGGAUUGUGCCUUUUAGCAGGCACACGCCCACUCAGCUUUCAGGAACAGAGUCACUUCCAAUUUGGGAACUCUUUUAGGAAGUGCACCUGUACACACACGCACACACACUUGUGCUUAGGGGCAGAGAUAUGUUUAAUGAUAAGGGUAUCGCCAACCAUACUUUAUAGGUCAGAAAACGGAGAUGCCAAGUGAUGUGAAGUAUAAAUCCAACUUACUAAAAUUGCCAAGAUUGUGAUUGAAGGGGCUGGAGAGAUGGGUUCGUGGUUAAGAGCACUUGGUGCUUUUGCAGAGUACCAGGGUUCCCAGCACCCACAACCAUCUGUAAUUCAAGCUCCAGAUAUGAUGCCCUCUGCUGACUUCUUUGGGUACUGCAGCCUGUGGUGCGCACAUGCAAGUGCAGACAAAACACACAGAAUAAAAAUAAUCUUUAAAAAUGUGCUUGGGGCUGGAGAAAUGGCUCAGAGGUUAAGAGCACUGGCUGCUCUUCCAGAGGUCCUGAGUUCAAUUCCCAGCAACCACAUGGUGGCUCACAACCAUCUGUUAUGAGAUCUGGUGCCCUCUUC